GUUUAGAUAGUUUAAGUUAAAACUUCAAUUUGUGGGAUUGAAAAUAUAAAAUGUAUUAUUUUAGACA
rnacentral:tRNA from 1 species